GCCCGGUUAGCUCAAUCGGUAGAGCGUGAGACUCUUAGUAUUCACGUCUUAACGGAUCGAUUGCAAUCUCAAGGUUGCGGGUUCGACCCCCGCAUCGGGCU